rnacentral:tRNA from 1 species
GCAUUAAUGGGGUAGUGGUAAUCUGGGUCGUUGCCAUAGGUACCACCCAGUUCUCUUUAAGCUGAUCUCUCGACCCGCCGGGGGUUCGAUUCCCUCUUAAUGCA